UGAGGAAUAUUGGUCAAUGGGCGCGAGCCUGAACCAGCCAAGUAGCGUGCAGGAUGACGGCCCUAUGGGUUGUAAACUGCUUUUGUAUGGGGAUAAAGUCAAUCACGUGUGAUUGUUUGCAGGUACCAUACGAAUAAGGACCGGCUAAUUCCGUGCCAGCAGCCGCGGUAAUACGGAAGGUCCGGGCGUUAUCCGGAUUUAUUGGGUUUAAAGGGAGCGUAGGCCGGAGAUUAAGUGUGUUGUGAAAUGUAGACGCUCAACGUCUGACUUGCAGCGCAUACUGGUUUCCUUGAGUACGCACAACGUUGGCGGAAUUCGUCGUGUAGCGGUGAAAUGCUUAGAUAUGACGAAGAACUCCGAUUGCGAAGGCAGCUGACGGGAGCGCAACUGACGCUUAAGCUCGAAGGUGCGGGUAUCGAACAGGAUUAGAUACCCUGGUAGUCCGCACAGUAAACGAUGGAUGCCCGCUGUUGGUACCUGGUAUCAGCGGCUAAGCGAAAGCAUUAAGCAUCCCACCUGGGGAGUACGCCGGCNACGGUG
rnacentral:rRNA from 1 species